GCGGGAGUAACUCAGUGGCAGAGUGCUAGCUUCCCAAGCUGGACGUCGCGGGUUCGAUCCCCGUCUCCCNNG
rnacentral:tRNA from 1 species